UCUCUUAUAGGCAAUCCAUAAAAGGAUUGAUUCUUCUAAAAUAAGCUAAUCUGUUUUCUGUUUCUCUCCUUCCUACCCAGGGUAAUCCAGCAGCAGAUGCAGGGGCUGGACCAGAAACCCUGCAGUGUUCCAGAACCAGUUUCCUCACAGAAGGUUAUUUCUUUGACAGUGAUGACUUCCAAACCUCCAGCACAGACUGAGGUGCUAUGUUACCCAGCUAUAGCACCACGCAAUCCCAAGCCCACCAGGAUCCACGUGGACAAAUGAGUUCUACAUCGGCAGCAUGAGAAGCCAUCAUUGCUGAGCUGUUCAUGUGAAGCAAAAUAUUCAAGAUCCACUUGGACACUUUCCUGUGCAACCUGCUGUAGAAAACCUGCUUUAUCAGGGGGUUGAUCUGGUUGGAUGGAUGACCCCCAGAGGUGUCUUCCAACCCCUACCAUUCUGUGACCCUGUGACUCCCAAAGCAAUCAACAAACUAGCAAUGGAGAUAUCUGGUUUAGAUGAAGAAUUUGAAGGUAUACUGCAAGGGGACUUGGAGCUACAAGCCAGUGUAUUGGGAAACCUUGGGCAUGUCCACAGUGAAGUCACUCCAGAAGAAGAUCAAAGCAGAUUUGCUGUGAGGAAGGGACAAGGUGCCAGUAGCUGCCCCACAUGCUGGGUACUUAGUUUGCUCUCUUCCCCCUCUACUCACAAAAGAUGAGAAUAAAUUCAAAGGCAUGACAGUGGCUCAAGCUUUGCUUUCAUUUACAAAAAUUUCAUUACCAAACCCAUGGUAAUUCAGUAAUUUUUAUGAGCUCCCAAGGACCUAACUGUGGGCAGAAUUGCAUUCAGAACAUCUCUUCUAACAGUCUUCUUACUCCCUAUUUUCUGUACUUCUGUGUAAGCAGCAUACUUAUUUCUGUGUGAAUAACAGCAACAAUCAGGAGUGGUUUGCAGUGUCAGUAAGUGCAUACAAAAUGAACAUGGACUUUUCAUCUCUAUCAUUUCCUACACAUUAAAUAUAAAAUUAGGAUGUCUAAGAAGCUGAACUCAUUGCUUUAAUAGCCUUAUGAAUAUUUGUCUCAUUAUGAGUGUUAUUUAGACCAAAAAGCACUAAUGCAAAUACUUUCAGAACAAGGUAUUGCAGUCCCAAUAGCUCCCAUUACUACAGAUAAGUAAUUAAGGCAAAAAGAAUAUGAAAGAGGUAAUUGUAUGAUGACUGUCAAACUGAGUAUGCUUUAGACGAAAGAGAUCCCUCCCAAAGCAAAACUUCAGCAGCAACUUCCAGUAACCAGAUAUUGAAUCCACAAGCUUCAAAGCUACCCUUACAAAACCUCUGAGACAUAUUCAGUCACAAACAGUCUAAUGGCACUACCUAAGGAAAGUGGCAAAAUUUUACUAUCAGUCUUCUCUGACACCAAACGAACAAAGACCUAAGUGAAUAAACACACUGGCACUUCGACUAUUCUGGAGUUAAAGAUCACCAAAUUCUGCAAAGAUGCUAUACUUUUCACUUGUAUCCUGUUCAAGAAAACACCAGGUAUAAGCUAUCUAUUAUUUUCAAGGUGUUAUGAUCUGAAGAAUCAGUGAUGAACACAGUACAUAAAUAAUCAACCAGUCACAAAAGCUAUGACCACAGGAGUAGAAAAGAAGACAAAAACAUACACUGUCAUGCCCCUCUCCUCCCCACUGAAAGACUGCAGAUACGAAUGGCUUGGAACAAAGUGAUGACCUGUAAACAGUGGCAGAUGAGGAUGCAUGGAGAAGAGACUAAUUGGAGUACAAAUACUUACAUUAUGGAGACAUCACAAUGAGACUGCACAAGAGGAACACCAGUUUCCUGAUCAAGAGAUAUAAUGGGAGACAAUAAGCAGGAAUAUGUCAAUAGAGGGCAGAAUUAGAGGAUCACUGCA